AUUGAACGCUGGCGGCAGGCCUAACACAUGCAAGUCGAACGAGUGGCGGACGGGUGAGUCAUGUCUGGGAAACUGCCCGAUGGAGGGGGAUAACUACUGGAAACGGUAGCUAAUACCGCAUACCAUCGGAUGUGCCCAGAUGGGAUUAGCUAGUAGGUGGGGUAACGGCUCACCUGGGCGACGAUCCCUAGCUGGUCUGAGCGGAUGACCAGCCACACUGGAACUGAGACACGGUCCAGACUCCUACGUGAGGCAGCAGUGGGGAAUAUUGCACAAUGGGCGAAAGCCUGAUGCAGCCAUGCCGCGUGUAUGAAGAAGGUCUUCGGGUUGUAAAGUACUUUCAGCGAGGAGGCGUUACUCACAGAAGAAGCACCGGCUAACUCCGUGCCAGCAGCCGCGGUAAUAC
rnacentral:rRNA from 1 species